rnacentral:lncRNA from 1 species
UCGAUUAGUAGAGUAUUACACUAGGGGCAAGCCUAUGAUGUGUCUGUGUAGUAUGUGAAUGUUCUUUGCUGAGAGGAAGUGAGUUCUUCCUAUCUUUGGUUCCUUGUUGCUUAAAUUUGAUGUGUGUAUGGAACUUCUCUCAGAAUUAUAAUGUGAGGUCAUGUGACUCAAGAAGAAAAAGUGAGUUUUCACCUCUGUUAGAGUAACUAGAGUAAGAACGAGUGUGUCAUGGCGUUAGAGUCUUCAUCUGAGGUGUGACUGUUGCACUGCUUAGGUUUCUCUUUCGUAAUGGCGGAUGUGGAAUAAAAUUAUGCAUUGAAUGGUUAGGCCUAGAAGUGUGGUUUAACAUGCUCGAGGACAAGCAAAGAUUUAAGUGUGGGGUAUUGAUAAUAGGUGAAUUUAACUAUAAUUAGCCCCUAAAUAUCCACCUUCUUGUGUAGUUUUGAUGAUAAAAGUGAUAACAAAAUGCUCUGAUUAGCGU